rnacentral:lncRNA from 1 species
GCCAUCUUGGCAUGGCCUUCUCAUCCCACCACACAUCACUACUUGAUAUUUUUAUAGUUUCCUUUUUUCCUUAAGCAGAAUCAAUUUUCCAUGUGGAUAGAAAUUUUUCAGGCAAGUGUAGCACUGGGAAAAGUUCUACAGGUCCAAACUGGUGAAAGCUCAAUCUGCCUUGAAGCCAGAUGUACUUGAAUUAUGGUAAGUGAAACACCAAACCAUUUAAAUUGGCAAAUAUAUUAAGGAUAUUGGCAUUACAAAAUACCGUUUGAUAGGGAAAAUGUUACAUGAACUGAGACAAUGCCUAU